GUGAGCAGAAAGACAAGAUGGAAGUUACACCUCUCUGCCUCAGACUGUUGCUGCUGGAGUUCAUUCAUCUGGGGACACAUGUUCAGAGUAGUUACAGUGGCAGAAGUGAUGUUGUGUUCCUUCGUGUCACUCCGAACAGACUGCAGCACUUUGAGUACGAGCGCUUGAUG